rnacentral:tRNA from 1 species
GGCUUCGUAGCUCAGCUGGUAGAGCGUGCGCUGUAUGAAAGCGUGGACGGGAUCCAUGCGUGGGUUUGAAUCCCACUGAACCA